rnacentral:rRNA from 1 species
GAUGAACGCUGGCGGCGUGCCUAAUACAUGCAGGUCGAGCGAACGGACGAGAAGCUUGCUUCUCUGAUGUUAGCGGCGGACGGGUGAGUAACACGUGGAUAACCUACCUAUAAGACUGGGAUAACUUCGGGAAACCGGAGCUAAUACCGGAUAAUAUUUUGAACCGCAUGGUUCAAAAGUGAAAGACGGUCUUGCUGUCACUUAUAGAUGGAUCCGCGCUGCAUUAGCUAGUUGGUAAGGUAACGGCUUACCAAGGCAACGAUACAUAGCCGACCUGAGAGGGUGAUCGGCCACACUGGAACUGAGACACGGUCCAGACUCCUACGGGAGGCAGCAGUAGGGAAUCUUCCGCAAUGGGCGAAAGCCUGACGGAGCAACGCCGCGUGAGUGAUGAAGGUCUUCGGAUCGUAAAACUCUGUUAUUAGGGAAGAACAUAUGUGUAAGUAACUGUGCACGUCUUGACGGUACCUAAUCAGAAAGCCACGGCUAACUACGUG